rnacentral:misc_RNA from 1 species
UCCGAGUUGACCCCGGCAGUCUCCUGCGAGUCCCCACCAUUACGUGCUGGCAACAUGAGACAAGGGUUGCGCUCGUUGCGGGACUUAACCCAACAUCUCACGACACGAGCUGACGACAGCCAUGCAGCACCUGUGCACCGGCCCCGAAGGGAGGGUGUGUUUCCACACCUGUCCCGUGCAUGUCAAACCCCGGUAAGGUUCUUCGCGUUGCGUCGAAUUAAACCACAUGCUCCACCGCUUGUGCGGGCCCCCGUCAAUUCCUUUGAGUUUCAACCUUGCGGUCGUACUCCCCAGGCGGGACACUUAAUGCGUUAGCUGCGGCACUGGAGGGGUCGAUGCCUCCAACACCUAGCACCCAUCGUUUACGGCGUGGACUAC